rnacentral:misc_RNA from 1 species
GAGAGACAGAGACAGAGACAGAGAAAGAGAGGAAUUGGGAUUUGUGAAGAGAAGGAUUUAGAUUUCCAUGGGAAGAACACAGAUCACAGAAGGAUGGAAACUGAACUGGUUAAUUCGACGAAGUGAAAUUAAAAAUUAAGAAAGAAAAAGUAUUUGAAAUAUUUUAUAUUUUAUUUUGUUUGAUCUGAUUACUAAUCUCAUCUUUGGAAUGGAUUGGAUUUGUUUUGGGGCCACCACCUACCUUUCUUUCCACAUUUGUCUCUUUC